GGGUUGUGAGGUUAAGCGACUAAGCGUACACGGUGGAUGCCCUGGCAGUCAGAGGCGAUGAAGGACGUGCUAAUCUGCGAUAAGCGUCGGUAAGGUGAUAUGAACCGUUAUAACCGGCGAUUUCCGAAUGGGGAAACCCAGUGUGAUUCGUCACACUAUCAUUAACUGAAUCCAUAGGUUAAUGAGGCGAACCGGGGGAACUGAAACAUCUAAGUACCCCGAGGAAAAGAAAUCAACCGAGAUUCCCCCAGUAGCGGCGAGCGAACGGGGAGCAGCCCAGAGCCUGAAUCAGUGUGUGUGUUAGUGGAAGCGUCUGGAAAGGCGCGCGAUACAGGGUGACAGCCCCGUACACAAAAAUGCACAUACUGUGAGCUCGAUGAGUAGGGCGGGACACGUGGUAUCCUGUCUGAAUAUGGGGGGACCAUCCUCCAAGGCUAAAUACUCCUGACUGACCGAUAGUGAACCAGUACCGUGAGGGAAAGGCGAAAAGAACCCCGGCGAGGGGAGUGAAAAAGAACCUGAAACCGUGUACGUACAAGCAGUGGGAGCACAGAGCAAUCUGUGUGACUGCGUACCUUUUGUAUAAUGGGUCAGCGACUUAUAUUCUGUAGCAAGGUUAACCGAAUAGGGGAGCCGAAGGGAAACCGAGUCUUAACUGGGCGUUAAGUUGCAGGGUAUAGACCCGAAACCCGGUGAUCUAGCCAUGGGCAGGUUGAAGGUUGGGUAACACUAACUGGAGGACCGAACCGACUAAUGUUGAAAAAUUAGCGGAUGACUUGUGGCUGGGGGUGAAAGGCCAAUCAAACCGGGAGAUAGCUGGUUCUCCCCGAAAGCUAUUUAGGUAGCGCCUCGUGAAUUCAUCUCCGGGGGUAGAGCACUGUUUCGGCAAGGGGGUCAUCCCGACUUACCAACCCGAUGCAAACUGCGAAUACCGGAGAAUGUUAUCACGGGAGACACACGGCGGGUGCUAACGUCCGUCGUGAAGAGGGAAACAACCCAGACCGCCAGCUAAGGUCCCAAAGUCAUGGUUAAGUGGGAAACGAUGUGGGAAGGCCCAGACAGCCAGGAUGUUGGCUUAGAAGCAGCCAUCAUUUAAAGAAAGCGUAAUAGCUCACUGGUCGAGUCGGCCUGCGCGGAAGAUGUAACGGGGCUAAACCAUGCACCGAAGCUGCGGCAGCGACGCUGAUGCGUUGUUGGGUAGGGGAGCGUUCUGUAAGCCUGUGAAGGUGUGCUGUGAGGCAUGCUGGAGGUAUCAGAAGUGCGAAUGCUGACAUAAGUAACGAUAAAGCGGGUGAAAAGCCCGCUCGCCGGAAGACCAAGGGUUCCUGUCCAACGUUAAUCGGGGCAGGGUGAGUCGACCCCUAAGGCGAGGCCGAAAGGCGUAGUCGAUGGGAAACAGGUUAAUAUUCCUGUACUUGGUGUUACUGCGAAGGGGGGACGGAGAAGGCUAUGUUGGCCGGGCGACGGUUGUCCCGGUUUAAGCGUGUAGGCUGGUUUUCCAGGCAAAUCCGGAAAAUCAAGGCUGAGGCGUGAUGACGAGGCACUACGGUGCUGAAGCAACAAAUGCCCUGCUUCCAGGAAAAGCCUCUAAGCAUCAGGUAACAUCAAAUCGUACCCCAAACCGACACAGGUGGUCAGGUAGAGAAUACCAAGGCGCUUGAGAGAACUCGGGUGAAGGAACUAGGCAAAAUGGUGCCGUAACUUCGGGAGAAGGCACGCUGAUAUGUAGGUGAAGUCCCUCGCGGAUGGAGCUGAAAUCAGUCGAAGAUACCAGCUGGCUGCAACUGUUUAUUAAAAACACAGCACUGUGCAAACACGAAAGUGGACGUAUACGGUGUGACGCCUGCCCGGUGCCGGAAGGUUAAUUGAUGGGGUCAGCGCAAGCGAAGCUCUUGAUCGAAGCCCCGGUAAACGGCGGCCGUAACUAUAACGGUCCUAAGGUAGCGAAAUUCCUUGUCGGGUAAGUUCCGACCUGCACGAAUGGCGUAAUGAUGGCCAGGCUGUCUCCACCCGAGACUCAGUGAAAUUGAACUCGCUGUGAAGAUGCAGUGUACCCGCGGCAAGACGGAAAGACCCCGUGAACCUUUACUAUAGCUUGACACUGAACAUUGAGCCUUGAUGUGUAGGAUAGGUGGGAGGCUUAGAAGUGUGGACGCCAGUCUGCAUGGAGCCGACCUUGAAAUACCACCCUUUAAUGUUUGAUGUUCUAACGUUGACCCGUAAUCCGGGUUGCGGACAGUGUCUGGUGGGUAGUUUGACUGGGGCGGUCUCCUCCUAAAGAGUAACGGAGGAGCACGAAGGUUGGCUAAUCCUGGUCGGACAUCAGGAGGUUAGUGCAAUGGCAUAAGCCAGCUUGACUGCGAGCGUGACGGCGCGAGCAGGUGCGAAAGCAGGUCAUAGUGAUCCGGUGGUUCUGAAUGGAAGGGCCAUCGCUCAACGGAUAAAAGGUACUCCGGGGAUAACAGGCUGAUACCGCCCAAGAGUUCAUAUCGACGGCGGUGUUUGGCACCUCGAUGUCGGCUCAUCACAUCCUGGGGCUGAAGUAGGUCCCAAGGGUAUGGCUGUUCGCCAUUUAAAGUGGUACGCGAGCUGGGUUUAGAACGUCGUGAGACAGUUCGGUCCCUAUCUGCCGUGGGCGCUGGAGAACUGAGGGGGGCUGCUCCUAGUACGAGAGGACCGGAGUGGACGCAUCACUGGUGUUCGGGUUGUCAUGCCAAUGGCACUGCCCGGUAGCUAAAUGCGGAAGAGAUAAGUGCUGAAAGCAUCUAAGCACGAAACUUGCCCCGAGAUGAGUUCUCCCUGACUCCUUGAGAGUCCUGAAGGAACGUUGAAGACGACGACGUUGAUAGGCCGGGUGUGUAAGCGCAGCGAUGCGUUGAGCUAACCGGUACUAAUGAACCGUGAGGCUUAACCUUACAACGCCGAAGGUGUUU
rnacentral:rRNA from 2 species